UACGGAGGAUGCAAGCGUUAUCCGGAAUGAUUGGGCGUAAAGGGUCCGCAGGUGGCAAUGUGUGUCUGCUGUCAAAGAAUGAGGCUUAACCUCAUCAAGGCAGUGGAAACUACAUAGCUAGAGUACGGUCGGGGUAGAAGGAAUUCCUGGUGUAGCGGUGAAAUGCGUAGAGAUCAGGAAGAACACCGGUGGCGAAAGCGGCAUCCUGGACCGAUAUUGACGCUGAGGCGCGAAAGCCAGGGGAGCAAACGGG
rnacentral:rRNA from 1 species